UCCCCUCUCUACUUUCUAUUAACUCAACUUGCUCAAGAGAUCGUCUCGUGGCCUCGGAAGACUCUUCCCGUUCAGGCGAACGGCUCCUGAUGCUGAAGAAGGUUUUGCAUUCAAACUCAAUAAGGCUUUGCAAGAGGGUUAAGUGAUGGGUUAUCUAAGAUUGUCAAAUCCAAAGGAAUCUCAGAAAUGGGCAGUUGAUCUUAAUGAAGCUGCAUGCCAAAGUCUAAUGUCAAAUCAUCCAGAAGUUCUGGUAAGCUUCAUGUCCAUGUACGACAGAAGUUAAGCUUUCAUUCGAUAAUCUUAUAAGGACUUAAGAAUUAUGCUUGCUUGAAUAGAUUAGGAAUGAGAAGGUUGAUGACAUUCUAGAGUUAUUGAAUGAAUGGAGUAUCAUAGAGAUAUUUUAAAAUUUGUCAUUUAAUUUAUGUUCUCUCUAAGAUUUCUUUCUUUCUUGUAUUGAACUAAUCUCCUUCUCACGAUGCUAUUUCCUCCUUGUAGAGAAUUCAUAGCCUAGCUGUAGCUGCAUAUGCGCUUGUUUGAGAUAAGUUUACUUAAUAGAGUUCGAGAUAAACAACCCUUCUACUUUAUCAA